rnacentral:lncRNA from 1 species
UGUUGUGUGCCCAGACGGAAGAAAACGGUGAUGGGAAUCCUAAAGUGGAUUCUAUGGCUGGCGGUGUUCUCGACGGCCUUAGCAUUCUCGACCGCCAUUAUGCGAAUAUUUUUCUAUCCGCCCUACACUACCAUCCUUCUCCUGAGCUGGUUCGGAAUCCUCAGUCUCUUCAUGGUUUGGGUGUGCUUUAGAGCGAUCAGGUGCUUGUUGCGCAAAGGUGGAUGCUGGAAGAAGAAAGAUAGAGAAGGAGAAAGCCAGGGAGGCCCCAGAAGGGCCGUUGCCAUCUGCACGAAGAUUGUGGUGGGCGUGUUGAUAAUAAUUCUUUUAGGAGUUUUUCUUAUUGUAAAUAUUUUCGUGUUUAGUUAUAUAGCAGAAAGGUCAAUGAUUGGAUAAUAUGACCUAUCGUUAUUCCUAUAUGGUUUAUCCUUUAUCAUCUUUUAAAGUUACUUUGUCUUAUUUUCAUAAUGUAAUUUGCUUUUAUGUAUUUUGUUCCACGGUAUAUAGUAAAUCUGUAACUUUAAUCAUUAUUAACUUUGGUUUUGUUGUUACAGAUGAUUUAUGAGAGUUUUGUGGAACAUUAUAUCUCUUACAUAUUAAUGAUUUAUUUAUUUAAAAACACUGGAUUCAGCAGAUCUAAAACUUAUCAAUAGUACAAUGAUGCACUAAUAUAUUUAUAAAAUCUUAAAUAUCUGAAUCAUUAUCCAUACUUGAAUCAAUUAGAACCGACAUAAUAUUCAAUGGUGCAUAAAAGAUAACAAUAAUCUAAUGUAUAGAAUUAUCAAUUAUUAACAACUGUGUGCCUAUACUUAUGUUGCACAUAAUUUUAUGUAUCGAAUCAAACACUCCACCUUAUCCACUUUGAUAUAAUCAAUAAUCAAUCUCAUCAUUGUGAUAUUAAAUUGAGGGUUCAUGGGUAUUAAGAUUGAGAAAUAAAAGAAAAAAUCAAAACUUUAUAUACUCCCAGUGUCACCAUCUAUCAGAAUAAAUCGGGUCAACACUCAUCAUGAAGAUUCCACAUGAGUCCAAAAGACGUGUGUACCGGCUUCAUCGGCAAUAUGGCAAUGGCGCAAUACAUGAUGCUUGUCCAUGUAUCAUCACGUACGUACGAUAUGAUGACGUGGUGAGAGGACGAGUGCAGCAACAUCAUACCUAACUCAUCCCUUUUCCUGGACGACGUCAUGCCAUGGUCGUACCGCAAUACAAGUGUAAGUUUGGAAUCGGAAUAGUGUCUGCUACUGAUGCAUGGUUGAGUCGCUAAUAGGACCUCAUCGUUAUCAAAAGUACUCAUUUCGUAGCCAUCAAUCAUCACAGUUUUAGAUUUAGAAUAUAGGAAUAUUUACAUAAUAAUAAGAUAUAUUUUGGGUUCAAGACAUGUCACAAUCGAUGUCACGUCGUAUUACAGUCGGGUCGGCAAGGGGAGCACCCCAACACGCUAAGUCAGAAUCCGUACCAAGGCAUUGUUUGGCAUGUCCCGUCCCGGAAGCUCGGGCAGUGUCGUCUGAUGCUGUCCCGCAUGUCCCGAUACAAAGGUCGCACAGUACCGUCUCAUCCCCCGAGGAUUAGCUGUCACGCCGAACCCGUGUGCGACCGACCACCCCUACUGAUUUGCUCGUCGGAGGGGCCAAAGUUGGGAAUCACCUGACUAUAGCCAUUUUUGCAGGCAAGCGGCCACCCCCGAGCCACGAGCGUCUCAACAUGGGAAUCGCCAUCCAAUGAACGAAGGCAAGCUGCCAACCAGCCCGGGAACGGAGAGACACUGCUCAACGUAGACGACGCCUGAACUGAGAAACGCUGAUCAACACCCUGUUGCGAGGGCCCGGCCUACCUCAACGUCCAAUUCAACUGGUAGAAGACUCCCGACGUCGAUCGUGGACCGAGCCGUGCUAACUCACCAGCUACGGCACAUUUGUUCACCAACAUAUAUAAUGUGGAACACAUAAUUUAAGAUGGUUUAUUUAUUUAUAUGCAUCAUGAUUUUAGUUUCUUUUUUUCUUCUCUAUUUCUCUCGGAUUCAUAGAGUAAUCAUUUAAUUAGCACGGAUUGAUGAAUCCGUGGUUAAAGAGUUGCUGCAGUACGCAGACGCUGCCAAUCUCUGCUCGGAGAACCGACAACGACGGCUUCAUGCCCGCCCACACUGCAAGCCUUACAAGGCAGGCUUGAUGUGUUGACAGUGUUACCGGAUGCGUGCCCGGAGUCCGAUCGAGCUGUGGCAUCGCAAGGUGACUCCAUCCUUCAUCUUGCUGUGAAAUCAAACAGCUUCUAGACAGUGCAGUUCUUGCUGAACAGAACGGAUGAGAACGAUGAGCUACUCAACUUUGGAGAUGCGAAGGGCAACACCAUCCUGCACCUUGCUGUGGCCAGAAAACACCUCUAGGUAGGUAUUCCUGAUCCCAAUUAGAGGAAAUAGAUUUAAAUGUCUUCUUCUUUUCACAAGGUGUUCACAAGGAAAUAGAUUUAGGACUUUCAUCUGACUCCUAUAUAUAAAUAAAUUAGAGAUGCAUGAUGUACAUGAAUAAAGUAAUUGUACUUGUAUGGAGAGAAGAAGAUGAAAGGAAGAACAAGAGAGCAACAUUGAAUUACUCUUCCUGUCUAAAACCAAUUACUAACUCAUGCAUUAAAGUGGCCGGAGAAGAUUAAAGGUUUGUCUGCAGGAAUGCAAACUUUUAGAGUAUAAUUAUUGCAUAAUCUAGUUCAUAAUUAAUCACCCAUGGGAUAUUUAUUAUAUAAUUUAAUUCAUAUCUAAUCUAUCCAUAGGACAUUUUAUAACUAUUUAAUAAUUUAAUCACAUAAUUCAAUCCAUCAUCCUUCUUUUGCGUAACUCUGAAAAAUUAAGAAAUAAUCAUAUAAUAAAUUACACCUCUAAAAAUUGAGAAAUACAUAAAUUCUUUAUGCUUUCGAUAUAUGCUUUUGAAAUAUACAUAAAUACCAAGUCUUCCUUGGUAUUUAUACAAAAUUUACAAAACAUCAGUUUAUAUUCAUUUUAAAUUCAUGGCUUGCCAAUAAUAUUUUCAAAAUAAAAGCAUAAAUAUAACUAGUGUCACAUACAAUAACAUAAGACAUUAUAAUUACCAUUCAUAUAAAUAUAACUAGGGGUUCAUAAAUAUAAAUAUAGUUAGAAUGUAAAUGUUAAAAUACAAAUCGUAAUAAUAUCAAUGGCUAUGAUAACAUUAUAUUACUGUGAUAAAACCGUGAAUCAUGUUUAACACUUAAUGUGUAGGUAACGCAUAUCUCCUUGUAUCAAGAUGCAAAAGAAUCUAGUCUUUGAAAUAUAUUCUAAUAUAUAACCCGGAUUGAUAGGUUUCAUAUCAUACUCAUACUGAUCAUAUAAGAAAAUAAUAUAUCAAUUACUGUUUACCAAAUUAUGGGUUUCGACAUGUCUCUUUUUGUAUCUCAUUUCAAGACUAAUAUAAUUAUAUAUCAUUUGAAACCAAUAAUAAUUAUAUAUACUUUAAUCAUUUUUAAAUAUAAUGUUAAACAUAUAUUUUUGUAUAAAUUCUGAUAAGAUAACUUUAAAAUGCUUAUAAAAUAAUAAAUAACUAUUCAAACCAUAUACUUUCCCAAAUUGUAAACAUAUAAAUUUUUUUUAUACUUUUAAAUAAUAAAGAUUUAUAAAUCUGGUAAAUCAUAUGUGUUUUAUCAAUUUCAAACAAAUGCAUUAACACUUUUCAAAACAAACUAGACGGAAUCAUCAGAUACUCACUUUGAUAGCCAUGUACUUAUACAAACAUAUAGCUCUCAAAUUUCCCUUUUUCUCUCCUUUUUUUUUUAAUAUAAUAAUUUUUCUCCUUUUAUUUCCUUCACAACAUAAAUAUUUAGUUAACGUAGUACAUCAGGAUGUAUCAAUCUAUAAUUCAAUACACAAAUAUAAUUAAUAAGAAUAUAAGAGAUUUCAAAAUCAUACUUAAUAUAAUAUUUUCUGUAGUCAUCUGAAUUCAUCUGAUAUCAAACUGAGUCCUUGAUUUUUUUUAAAUUUUAUUUUUUUCCUUCCUUCCCUUUUGUUGUUGUUCUUCUUCUUUUCUUUCUUUCAUUCUCUCGUUUAGGUUCUCAUAGCUGAUGCCUCCCUAUCCUCUCUCAAAAAGAACUCAUCAGUUUUUCUUUGAUGCUUUUUCCUAUAUUAUACGUAAAUUCUCAUCGUAAAUAGAAAUGGUUGUGUAUUUCUAUAAUCUAUGAAUUCGUGCUCUACCAAUCAAAUAAGAAAAAUUAUAUUUCAACGUGGAAUGAAAAAGAUAAAUUCUACCAAUCAAAUAAGAAAAAAUCUAUUUCAACGUGGAUGGGUAGAAGGAGCCUUUUUCUUAGCUUGAUCUAUGGCCUCUCUCUCUCUCUCUCUCCUUAAACAGGAUCCUCCCUCUCUUUCUCUUUCCUUCUCCCUCCUCUUAUUUUCUUCCUCUCUUCUUCUUUUGUUCUUCUCUGUUUCCGUUUCCAUCUUUCUUUCUCCUAUUUCUUUCUUCUUCACCCUUCUCUUUUUCUUCUUCUCUUCCUUACCUCUGUGUUCUUUCUUUAUCUCCCACAGCUCCCACUUAGCCUUUGUUUUUUUUUUUUUACUUUUUAUAUUUUAAUUCCGGUAAUCUUUACAUUUAUAAUUAGAACCUCAGAUUAAAUUUGAAAUACUACACAAUAUACCGAUAUAAUAUUCUUAAACACUGAAUUGGAUGAUCAAAGAUCUUAAGAAUUUACAUAGUUAGAAGAAAAAAAACACAAUAUAUACUUUAAAUAUCUCCUCUCAUAAGCAAAACGAUUUAAUUUUGAUGUAUGAAUGAAAUACGAAUAUAUGUAUGUCCCAUAUGUAUGAAUACAAACAUAAAUGAAAAAUAGUGAUUGUACGAAUAAUUUUUAAUUAAAUAUUAAAAAAAAUAUAAAUAUAUGAUUCAAACUCAUAGUCUACUCUCGCACCAUCUUCAAAAAUUUAAUUGAUGACCACACAACCUAAGAGUCUAAACUAUUAGGAAAGGACUUAACACAAAAUAAAAAAAAAUUAGAAAGCACACAUUUAGAGAAAAAUCUUUCUGCUGACUGAGUGUAUAACAGCACUGCAAUUUCCUUUGAGGAUUUGUUCGUAUUUGGAAUUAAACGUUCACGUAACACAAAUAAAUAUGCAACUUAAAAGAACGGAAGCUUUUUAGUGGCUUAUGUACUCAAAGAGUUGCACCACUACAAUACACUUAAUCGAUCGAGCAAUAUGCCUUUUCAAACCGAAUGGCUCUUUUAAGGGGUAUUGUGAACCUGUGCAUAUCGAUCGUGUGACCAUUGGUAAGAGUCAAACAUUGUUAAUUUCCUGAAGUGGGCAAUCGAAUGAUUUUUUCAGCUGGACAAGAAAGAAUGAUGCAUGUUGGUUGGAUAUCGUUAAGUCGGAGUUUGAUUGUCUGACGUGUGAAUGAGAUUCGAAUCUAAUCGUAAUCCAUUUUUAAGUUCAUCCCAAGUUCACGUGUUGGAAAGCCGGGGGAUUGAAUCCAAGGUAUUAUAAAAUAUUACGUUGGGACAUACUCAACAAGGUUCCUCUGGUAUGAACUUAGUCAAGUUUGGAUGGUUUAGUCAAGUAUAUUUAGUCAAAUUUGCAUAUCUUUGUGGUGGUCGAAUAUCUCUUCAUGGUUUAUCCUUGGCUAUGGAAUAUUGCUCUUUCUCUGGAUCAUCUGUGUUAGUAGACUCGGGACCACCUACUAGCAUUCUUUGAGUAGAAGAGUUCGACUUAAAGGAAUCUGAACUACUAAUCUCAAGCUCCACCUGCUUCUGCGCACUAUCAUUUGUACAACUAGUAGAAUCCUCUUUAGAAGAUAACAUAGACAAUUCAUCAAAAGUAACAUCUCUACUGAUUACAAAUUUUGGGGAUUUGGGAUCAGAACAUCAUAAUCUGUAUCCUUUCACCCCAGAAGCAUACCCAAGGAAAAUACAUUUUUUAGCUCGAUGCUCUAAUUUUCCUUCAUUUACAUGCAUGUAUGCUGGACACCCAAAAAUUUUAAAAUCAGAGUAAUCAGCAGGAGUACCUGACCAAACUUCCUCCGGAGUUUUAGUUGUUAGAAGUAACGACUAUUCAUCAUAGCCUCUCUAAAGUCUUAUCAGAUGAUAUUAAUUGUAUUCAUGUCGAAAUUGAUUCUAAGUGCCUUGUCGACAUACUAAGUGGUACAUCUCGACUUUGAUAGAACUAAUGAGAUUAUGCUAUUGUUAAGAUAUUUUCACUCUUCCUUGAUCACAAAUGUAUAUCAUAAAUAUAAUAGAGGAGCCAACUGACUAGCGAACUACGCUAGAGUGCAUCUAAUUACUAUUUUUAGGUGAUUUUUGUACCCUAUGCUAUCUAAUAAAUUUUUUUUUUCCUUUUUGCAAAACAAAAAAAAAGUAUGUCAGGAUUGACGUUGACUUGCAAUUUUUGUAAUCCUCAUUUAAUGAUAAUGUUCAUUGAGAAGAAAUUUGAUUUCCAAGUUUGCUGGUCAACAAUUGAACAAUUGAAUUUUAUACAAACGCCGCAGCAAAGUGAGGUCUCUCGCAUAAGCUGCUUCCUCUAGUCUCGGAUCCAUGCUCAAUUAGUCUCCAGAUGUGCUUGCAGAUAACUCGACGCAAGAACACCUAUACAUGUAGGCUUGUGGUUGGAGCAGUUCCUCCUGGUUCAGGAGGCGAGGUUUCUUCUUGUCGAGCCUGUCCUCACCAGACGCCAAAGAGACGACUGGGUCAUCGAGCUCACAGUGGCCACUGCAGUCCCGUUUAAACAUCUUAUCCCAAGGAAUCGAUGCGGUGUAAACGCAGCGAGGGAGACGAAAGCCGAACGGCGAGUGGGAUAGCAACAGCGUGCGCAAUUGUUCGGAGAAAAAUUGGAUGUUUUUGCAGACGUCAACUGCCGUGCUUACGAGACUGCAUGCUGAACACGUUAACCUAACAUCACCUUGGUGUCCUGUCCGGCUUAUCAACUUCUUCAACCCUAACAGCGAGACUCGUAGCUCAUGACCGUUCUAAUAUAAUCUUCUUUACUUUUCAAAAGAAAAAAAAAGUCAUCCACGCUUUGGGACAAGCCGAAAUGGCUCGCUCCAUCAUCACUUUCCAACUAGUUUAUCAAUACACAGGACGUCUCCAUUUCAAGGAUCCGCUGAAGCAAUGUUUAUCAAUAUAUUAGCAGUCGAAAUCUUUCAUUUAUUGUGAAUAUUUGGAUGGUACAAGUGGCAGAAUUCCAAUCGAACUAAGCUUUCUGUGCAACAGAUCAAAUCAAUGUUAGUUAACCCUUCAUAUGUAUGAUUUCCAUCCACUAAAUCUGCUUGCCUUGAUAGCUCCUCGUCGUUUGUGGCAUCUCCCACUCAUUUACCGAUUAAAAUUUUAAGUGAAGAUAGGUUUUAGGAAGAAAUUAUUGUAAUUAGAAGAAUCCCUCUCAUCAAAAUAAUCUCCUAAGAAAUUUUGGACUAAUCAAAACUUUUUAUUGAUCAAUAAUUAUAAUUAAAUACUAUAAUAUAUCUUACUUAAUCCGAUAGACUUAUAUAAUUUAUUAAUUUUGUCCUGACCUUUACUCGGGUUUCUGUAGGUGGAUAUUAGGGGACACAUCGUCAUAUGGAUCGGUCGUAUCAGAUAGUAGACAGGCCGUGUCUGUCAUUUUCUACGUGAAGAAAAGUUAGGAAAAGCUAUAUCAUAAGUCCAUCAUGUUUCAUCAACAUUCUCAAACACAAAUACCGCACAUCGACUGUCCCACCUUCACUUCAUUCUCUAGAUAGUUUCGGCGAACGAGAAAGCAAGCUGAGAAAAAGUAUUCUACCAAGUCCAGACUGUUAGAGCUAGCCCCAAAAAAUUUACCAUAAGGUAAUUUUGACAACCCAACAAGACAAUAAAACGGAAAGAAUAAAACGAGACAAGAACACUAGAACACCAGUUAUACGUGAUUCGGUCAAUUGACCUACAUUCACGGACGAAAACGAGACAAGAACACUAGAACACCAGUUAUACGUGGUUCGGUCAAUUGACCUACAUCCACGGACGAAAGAGGAGCAAAUUACUACUAUAAAAGAGAGACACUUACAAAUGCAUUAGGAAGAUGUUCCUAGGCCAUAAAACACCUUCAGCUUACUAAACAAGAAAAACCCAAACCGUAAGCACGUUUUCUUUUGAUGCCUCUUGUGCUGCCUCUUGUGCUGCAUGUGGUACUUCUGACUUCAAAGCCCAGACCCUUAUUUAUAGUUCCAAAACGAGACAACAAGUCUGAUUUUCCCGAUGUGGGACUAUGGGACUUGCCAAACUAACAAAUCUCCACCUUGGCAUGUCCCAACAAAACUUGCUCCACCUUUUUCAUAAAAGCUCCAACGGGCAAUCACCAACAAUGAACAUCAACCAAGUCCAAGCACUGCUUGAACUUGUAAACUGGAACAAGCUUCGUAAGCAUAUCAGCUGGAUUGUCUUUCGUAUGAAUUUUUUGAACAAGGACCUUUCCCUCAGUAAUAGUAUCCCAUUUGCAUCCAACAAUUUUCUUAUCCGAAGGCGGCUUCACAAGAUCCCAAGUUCUAUUCGGAUGGAGAGACUCAAUUUCUUCAUUCAUCACAAUCAACCACUUCGCGGAAUUAUCACAAGAAACUGCAUCUGAGUAGGAAGUAGGCUCACCAACUUCACUUGUCUCUUCUGCAACAGACAAAGCAUAUGCAACCAAAUUUUCAUAUCUUUGUAGUGGUUGAAUAUCUCUCCGUGGUCUAUCUUUGGCUAUUGAGUAUUGCUCUUCCUCUGGAUCAUCUGUGUCAGUAGACUCGAGACGACCUACUGGCAUUCUUUGAGUAGAAGAGUUCGACUUAAAGGAAUCUGAACUACUAAUCUCAAGCUCCACUUGCUUCUGCGCACUAUCAUUUGUACAACUAGUAGAAUCCUCUUUGGAAGAUAACAUAGACAAUUCAUCAAAAGUAACAUCUCUACUGAUUACAAAUUUUGGGGAUUUGGGAUCAGAACACCAUAAUAUGUAUCCUUUCACCCAGAAGCAUACCCAAGGAAAAUACAUUUUUUAGCUCGAGGCUCUAAUUUUCCUUCAUUUACAUGCAUGUAUGCUGGACACCCAAAAAUUUUAAAAUCAGAGUAAUCAGCAGGAGUACCUGACCAAACUUCCUCUGGAGUUUUAAUUGUUAGAAGUAACGACUAUUCAUCAUAGCCUCUCUAAAGUCUUAUCAGAUGAUAUUAAUUACAUUCAUGUCGAAAUUGAUUCUAAGUGCCUUGUCGACAUACUUAGUGGUACAUCUCGACUUUGAUAGAACUAAUGAGAUUAUGCUAUUGUUAAGAUAUUUUCACUCUUCCUUGAUCACAAAUGUAUAUCAUAAAUAUAAUAGAGGAGCCAACUGACUAGCGAACUAAGCUAGAGUGCAUCUAAUUACUAAUUUUUAGGUGAUUUUUGUACCCUAUGCUAUCUAAUAAUUUUUUUUUCCUUUUUGCAAAACAAAAAAAAAGUAUGUCAGGAUUGACGUUGACUUGCAAUUUUUGUAAUCCUCAUUUAAUGAUAAUGUUCAUUGAGAAGAAAUUUGAUUUCCAAGUUUGCUGGUCAACAAUUGAACAAUUGAAUUUUAUACAAACGCCGCAGCAAAGUGAGGUCUCUCGCAUAAGCUGCUUCCUCUAGUCUCGGAUCCAUGCUCAAUUAGUCUCCAGAUGUGCUUGCAGAUAACUCGACGCAAGAACACAUAUACAUGUAAGCAUGUGGUUGGAGUUAGGAAAAGCUAUAUCAUAAGUCCAACAUGUUUCAUCAACAUUCUCAAACACAAAGACCGCACAUCGACUGUCCCACCUCCAGGAAAUUUACCACAAGGUAAUUUUGGCAACCCAACAAGACAAUAAAACGGAAAGAAUAAAACGAGACAAGAACACCAGAACACCAGAUAUACGUGGUUCGGUCAAUUGACCUACAUCCACGGACGAAAGAGGAACAAAUUACUACUAUAAAAGAGGGACACUUACAAAUGCCUUAGGAAGAUGUUCCUAGGCCAUAAAACACCUUCAGCUUACUAAACAAGAAAAACCCAAACCGUAAGCACGUUUUCUUGUGGUGCCUCUUGUGCUGCCUGUGGUACUUCUGACUUCAAAGCCCAAACCCUUAUUUAUAGUUCCAAAAUGAGACAACAAAUUUGAUUUUCCCGAUGUGGGACUAUGGGACUUGCCAAACUAACAAAUCUCCACCUUGGCAUGUCCCAACAAAACUUGCUCCACCUUCUUCAUAAAAACCCAACGGGCAAUCACCAACAACGAACACCAACCAAGUCCAAGCGCUGCUUGAACUUGUAAACUGGAGCAGGCUUCGUAAGCAUAUCAGCUGGAUUGUCUUUCGUAUGAAUUUUCUGAACAAGGACCUUUCCCUCAGCAAUAGUAUCCCAUUUGCAUCCUACAAUUUUCUUAUCCGAAGGCGGCUUCACAAGAUCCCAAGUUAUAUUCCGAUGGAGAGACUCAAUUUCUUCAUUCAUCACAAUCAACCACUUAGCAGAAUUAUCACAAGAAACUGCAUCUGAGUAGGAAGUAGGCUCACCAACUUCACUUGUCUCUUCUGCAACAGACAAAGCAUAUGCAACCAAAUUUGCAUAUCUUUGUGGUGGUCGAAUAUCUCUCCGUGGUCUAUCCUUGGCUAUGGAAUAUUGCUCUUCCUUUGGAUCAUCUGUGUCAGUAGACUCGGGACCACCUACUGGCAUUCUUUGAGUAGAAGAGUUCGACUUAAAGGAAUCUGAACUACUAAUCUCAAGCUCCACCUUUCUGCGCACUAUCAUUUGUACAACUAGUAGAAUCCUCUUUAGAAGAUAACAUAGAUAAUUCAUCAAAAGUAACAUCUCUACUGAUUACAAAUUUUGGGGAUUUAGGAUCAGAACAUCAUAAUCUGUAUCCUUUCACCCCAGAAGCAUACCCAAGGAAAAUACAUUUUUUAGCUCGAGGCUCUAAUUUUCCUUCAUUUACAUGCAUGUAUCCUGGACACCCAAAAAUUUUAAAAUCAGAGUAAUCAGUAGGAGUACCUGACCAAACUUCCUCCGGAGUUUUAAAGUCAAGUGCUGUAGAAGGAGCGCGGUUGACAACGUAACAUGUCAUAUUAAUCGCCUCUGCCCAAAAGUCUUUUGUCAACCCUGCAUUUGAGAUCAUACACCUUGCUCUCUCCAAGAGUGUUCUGUUCAUACGUUCGGCCACACCAUUUUGUUGAGGCAUCAUCCUAAUAGUGCGAUGCCGAACGAUUCCUUCAUUUUUGCAGAAUUCUUCAAAGUCACCUUCAUAAAAUUCCAUGCCAUUAUCUGUUCGAAGCCGCUUAAUCUGUUUACUUGUUUGCUUCUCAAUCAAAGCCUUCCAUUGUUUAAAGGUUAGAAAAACAUCACUUUUAUGCUUCAAAAAAUAAACCCAAACUUUCCUGGAAUAAUCGUCAAUGAAAGUUAACAUAUACCUAGCACCACCCUUAGACUGAACAUGAGCUGGACCCCAAAGGUCUGAAUGAAUAUAGUCAAGAGUACCUUUCGUUUUGUGAACUGCCGGAGAAGUGAAGCUGACUCUUUUCUGCUUUCCAAAAGUGCAGUGUUCACAAAAAUCAAGUGGCCCAAUACUCUGUCCGCAAAGUAGACAUCUUUUGCUCAAUAUGCUCAAACAUUUUUCGCUCAUAUGACCCAAACGCAUAUGCCAUAAUUUGGUGAUGUCAGGAUCAGACAAUGAUGAUGACGAAACUACAACCGAACCUGUGAUAGUAGUUCCCUGCAGAAUAUACAAGCUACCAGACCUACAAGCUUUCAUAACAACAAGAGCAUUUCUAGAAACUUUCAUAACUCCAUAUUCAGCUGUGUAUUUAUACCCAAGGGCCUCUAGGGUGCCUAAAGAGAUGGGAUUCUUUUUUAAAUCACGAAUAUGUCUAACAUUAGUGAGCGUCCUCACAAUACCAUCAUGCAUUUUAAUUCGGAUUGUGCCUCUACCAACAACAUCACAUGCGGCAUUAUUGCCCAUCAAAACAAUUCCACCAUUACAAGAUUCAUAUGUGGAAAACAAAUCUCUAUUGGGACACAUGUGAUAAGAACAACCCGAAUCUAAAAUCCAUUCAUUUUUAGACAUCGUCCUGUCAUCAAUAGCAGAAAAAAUAUUUUCAACAUUCUCAUCAGUUGCUACACUAACUUCAGCGGACUCAAUAGUUUUCUCAACAAGUUUUUCCUUUUGCUUUAAUUUAUUUUUCAAUUUAAAGCAAUCAGAUUUAAUGUGCCUCAUUUUAUGACAAUAUCUGCAUUCCAAAUUUCUAUGUCUGAAUUUAGAUCUAGAUUUAGAUCUUCUACUAUCAAAUUCUCUUUUAUCCAUUCUACCCCUGACAACCAGACCCUCAGCCUGAUUCUCUCUACUUUCCCCAGUGAUAUUCCUGUCUAUCUGCUCCUUAGAUUUCAGUGCAGAUUUAAUUUCUUGAUACGAAACUGUUUCUUUUCCAUAAAUCAAAGUAUCACGGAAAUGAUUAAAAGAUUAGGAAGAGAAUAAUGCUCGAUCGGGCCUUCUUAUCCAUACCCGCAAGACAUUCCUUUAUCGUACCAUCUGGAAUGUUCUCAGCUCCCUUAAGUGCCAAAUCAACUUAAUCUUGAAUCAGAAUGGCCUCCAUCUUGCCAAAGUUGACAUUUCUGUCGAAUUUCUCGAUAACGAUCUUUGUUAUUGUCAUUGUUGCCAAAAGAUCCCAAAACCAGGCUCUGAUACUAGUUUGUUAGAGCUAGCCCCAGGAAAUUUGAUUUACAUGGUUCGGUCAAUUGACUUUGACCUACAUCCACGGACGAAAGAGGAGCAAAUCACUACUAUAAAAGGGACUAUUACAAAUGCUUUAGGAAGAUGUUGCUAGGCCAUAAAACACCCGAAAAUACUAAACAAGAAAAACCAAAUUAUUUAACUGAGUGUGGACUUAAACGCAAAGCAAACACUUAGGUUUUUCUUAUGGUGCCAAUUGUGGUGCUACUUGUAGUGUAUUUGACUUCAAAGCUCAGACCCUUAUUUAUAGUUCCAAUAGAAAAUAACAAGUCUAAUUUUCCUGACGUGAGACUAUGGAACUUGCCAAACAGACUCAAUCGAAAUCGUCACCUAGUGAUGCCAAAGCCUCUGCUACUGUCGCCUUACACAGAAGCCGACUAAAUUGGUCUGAACCUAAAGAAAUGUACAACAACAAACCAGCAACACUAAUGGUGGUGGCGACGUUGAUCGCCACCACCACAUUCGAAGCUGGGUUGAACCCCCCAGGUGGGUUUAACCAGAAAGAUGAUGUUGGUUCCCCCUACACUUCUAGUCUCAAGUUAUUCCUGCUGUUCGACAUGUUCGGGUUGUUUGCAUCCUCGAGCAUCGUUCUUUUGUUGAUAUGUUGUGUUCCCAGACGGAAGAAAACGGUGAUGGGAAUCCUAAAGUGGAUUCUAUGGCUGGCGGUGUUCUCGACGGCGUUAGCAUUCUCGAUCGCCAUUAGGCGAAUAUGAUUCUAUCCGCCCUGCACUACCAUCCUUCUCAUGAGUUGGUUCGGAAUCCUCAGUCUCUUCAUGGCUUGGGUGUGCUUUAGAGUGAUCAGGUG